rnacentral:piRNA from 1 species
UAGAAUCACAAUCUUAUGAACUACCCUGA